AGAAAUGUGCCCGAAGGAUAAGGACCUCUUUGAUAGAGAGGUAAACAGGGGUUCAAGUCCCCUCAUUUCUAU
rnacentral:tRNA from 1 species